rnacentral:lncRNA from 1 species
GGGAUAUAAUAUACAGAUUUAACACCAAUUCUACAUAUUCCUAAAUUUAUUAACAGUUCCUUCUAUUGCAUACAUAUUAUUAUAUCAUCAAGCCCUAGAUCUUUCAAUACAUAUACGUAUAUACAUAUGUUUUACUUAUAUACUUACAGAAAAUAACAUAUGAAUGUAUAAGAGUUGUAAUUGAGAGAUGAAAAUUUACCUUUGCGCACAAGCGGUAGGCUGAGGAGUGGUGUAUAAAGAUUAGAGACGACUAUUUGUAGCAAAUUUCAUGAGCUAUGAUCGAUUUCCCACAACAGCUGAUAAUGGAUAAGGACACCAAGCCUAGAGGAAAGCACCUUCCCGUUUUUUUAU